rnacentral:rRNA from 1 species
AAUUGGCAGUGGCUUGGUUAAGGGAACUCACUAGGGCUGUAGCAAAAGCGAGUCUUUAUAGGGCAAUUGUUACUGCUUAUGGAUCCAAAUUUGGGUGAUUUAUCCAUGAUCAAGAUGAAGCUUAAGUGAAACUAAGUGAAUGUCCAAAUCGACUAAUCUUGAGUAAUCAGUGGAUGAGUUGUGGUUAGGGGUGAAAUGCUGCUCAAACCCAAAGCUAGUCAG